rnacentral:rRNA from 1 species
AGAGUUUGAUCAUGGCUCAGAUUGAACGCUGGCGGCAGGCCUAACACAUGCAAGUCGAGCGGUAGCACAGAGAGCUUGCUCUCGGGUGACGAGCGGCGGACGGGUGAGUAACACGUGGGUAACCUACCCAUCAGAGGGGGAUAACACUUGGAAACAGGUGCUAAUACCGCAUAAUCUCUCAGGAGCAAAGCAGGGGAACUUCGGUCCUUGCGCUAUCGGAUGAACCCAUAUGGGAUUAGCUAGUAGGUGAGGUGAUGGCUCACCUAGGCGACGAUCCCUAGCUGGUCUGAGAGGAUGACCAGCCACACUGGAACUGAGACACGGUCCAGACUCCUACGGGAGGCAGCAGUGGGGAAUAUUGCACAAUGGGCGCAAGCCUGAUGCAGCCAUGCCGCGUGUGUGAAGAAGGCCUUCGGGUUGUAAAGCACUUUCAGCGGGGAGGAAGGCGGUGAGGUUAAUAACCUCACCGAUUGACGUUACCCGCAGAAGAAGCACCGGCUAACUCCGUGCCAGCCGCCGCGGUAAUUC